rnacentral:rRNA from 1 species
GACGAACGCUGGCGGCGUGCUUAACACAUGCAAGUCGAACGGAAAGGCCCUGCUUUUGUGGGGUGCUCGAGUGGCGAACGGGUGAGUAACACGUGAGUAACCUGCCCUUGACUUUGGGAUAACUUCAGGAAACUGGGGCUAAUACCGGAUAGGAGCUCCUGCUGCAUGGUGGGGGUUGGAAAGUUUCGGCGGUUGGGGAUGGACUCGCGGCUUAUCAGCUUGUUGGGGGGGUAGUGGCUUACCAAGGCUUUGACGGGUAGCCGGCCUGAGAGGGUGACCGGCCACAUUGGGACUGAGAGACGGCCCAGACUCCUACGGGAGGCAGCAGUGGGGAAUAUUGCACAAUGGGCGGAAGCCUGAUGCAGCAACGCCGCGUGCGGGAUGACGGCCUUCGGGUUGUAAACCGCUUUCGCCUGUGACGAAGCGUGAGUGACGGUAAUGGGUAAAGAAGCACCGGCUAACUACGUG